GUGUGGCCCAUGCUCGCCCCUAAGGUGCACCUGAGGUGCUCAUUAGAAACCCUCUAUGGCUGAGGACAUGCCUGCCAGUGCAGUGUGUUCCAUCUUUCCAGGGAGUCCUCUGCUCCCUGAUUGAUCUUGAUUUCCUUGGUUUCACCUCCAGAUGGUGUUGGUCUGUGGUCGCCUUCCCAGAAAAGUCCAGUCUUGCCCAGUGCCUUAGACCAGCAAUAUUGCUAGGGCCUCGUGGUUUCCACAUGUACUCCACACAUUUCAUCUUCACAGAGUCCCUUUCACACUUCUGAGGCUCUCAGAUCCCAGAAUAGCCAAGAAUAUUUCUCCUCUGGGAGAUACUGGGUUAAGACUGUUGUUUCUGUCACCCUAGGUAGCUGCCAUUUGCACAGACACUGAUACAGGCCCGCAUGAACACUUCGUCACUGUCAGACCCACCUCUCAUCUACCACAACAGUUUGGACUUUGGUCAUAUGCUGGAUUUUCCCAAUUUUCAUCCAUUUGUUGGUGCAAAAAGUCCUUCAUUGUCUGGCUCACUCUGUUCACCUGCUGAUGUGGGCUCCUGUCAGAGGGAUCUCCUCCCACCCUCCACAAUACAGCGAGUGCUUGAAUAACAGAAAAGACAAACCAGGCGCUCCAUGAGAUGCUCCAAGCCUGCAGGAACUCUGCGUGCCUGGGGAAAAGGCUCUUUGUGAAGAAAUUGAUAAUUUUCUCCCAGACUGCUGGUGCCCGAAUCAGGAAGCGCUGCAGGAAGGCACAGAUCGGUUCCCUCUGGCUUUGCACGUACCAAGGGGGAUGGUGAUGUCCCUGGGUCCCUGUGGACAGCAAGAGGUUCCCCUAAGGUGAUAGAGUCACCUUGGAGAGGGUGCCAUUUAAGAAGAAAAAUACCCAUCUAGAAGACAGUGAGGAUCUCAGGGCUCAGGGGUCCUCUGUGACCUGUGGCCUUCCUGAGGCUGUUCGAGCCCCAAACUCUUCCAGGCUGGCAAGCACCGCUCAGGACAGGGAUGCGCAUCUGGACACACCUAGCCCAGGGCCCAGAGGUGUCCCAACUCUUCCGGCUCCAGCCUUCCGGUAUGCUGACCUCCAGCCCAGCUGGCCCAGCUCCACCAACAGUUCAGCCCCUGCCUGCGAGACCUUUCUCCUGAGACCUGUGUGUGUGUGUGUGUGUGUGUGUGUGUGUGUGUGUGUGCGCGUGUGCGCGCACUGUCUGGGCCUCUGUUCCAUCGCCUAUCCUGGCCUCUCACCAGGGUCUGAAGAGGCAUGUGUGUACAGCGUUUUCAAAUAAUCUGGAUUUUUAAAAAAAAAUAAUAAAACUGUUUUUUUAUUGCUG
rnacentral:lncRNA from 1 species